UGCUCACCCAAUUACCUUUCCUAGUAUAUCUUCAUCUUGUUAAAGUGUAUGAGAACUGCUUUGGAGAGUCUAAUAAGUCCAAAUGAGCAUUAAAAAGGAGAGAGAGUAGGAGAAGUAUCUCUUGAGAAAGAUAAAAUUUGGAUGUUUGUUGUUGUUGCUGGAUUUGAAGGAAAGGAUGCUCUUUAUGCUAAGAUCACUCCUCAUUAUUCUCAAGAAGAAAAAAUAUUGUGUGCACAUUUUGGAGAAUGGAAAUUGGGGGUCCCUUCUAUGUUGGUCAUUUUUGCUUCUGCAUAAAAUAAUAGAGAUAAUUAGUCAUCACCUUGAUGUAGACAAUGUGAGUUCAUAGGCAGUGGCCUUUUUACCUGACUUCAAGGCAUUGGUAAACUUCACAAGGAUCUGCUACUUUUCUCCUGAGCCACCACUAGCAUAGAAUAUCUUUCCAUUAAUAGAGAAUAUUAAAAAUCUUCUAAAACAUCA
rnacentral:lncRNA from 1 species